AGUGAACGCUGGCGGUAGGCCUAACACAUGCAAGUCGAACGGCAGCACAGUAAGUGCUUGCUCUUACGGGUGGCGAGUGGCGGACGUGUGACGAAUACAUCGUAAUCUACUUUUUCGGGUGGGUUAACGAAGCUAAACUUACGCUAAUACCGCAUACGCCCUACGGGUGAAAGCAGGGGAUCUUCGGACCUUGCGCGAUUGAAUUAGCCGAUGUCGGAUUUGCUAGUUGGCGGGGUAAAGGCCCACCCAGGCGACGAUCCGUAGCCGGUCUGGGAGGAUGAUCAGCCACACUGGAACUGAGACACGGUCCAUGCGACUACGGGAGGCAGCAGUGGGGAAUAUUGGACAAUGGGCGCGAGCCUGGUCCAGCCAUACCGCGUCGGUGAAGAAGGCCUUCGGGUUGUAAAGCCCUUUUGUUGGGAAUGAAAAGCAGCAGGUUAAUACCCCGCGGGUCUGACGGUACCCAAAGAAUAAGCACCGGCUAACUUCGUG
rnacentral:rRNA from 1 species